rnacentral:rRNA from 1 species
UGCAGAAUCUCGUGAAUCAUUGAGUUUUUGAACGCAAGUUGCGCCUGAGGCCGUUUUUUGGUCGAGGGCACGCCUGCCUGGGCGUCAUGCAUGGUGUAGCCCUCGGACCUCCCCAGAUAGGAGACCCGCUAAUCGGGUUGAUUUUCAAUGGGAAGGGAUUUGGGGUAGAUGGUGGCCUCCCGUUCCCUAUUGCGCGGCUGGCUAAAUAUCAUGGUCCCUGGCGACAUGCGGUGCGACGGGUUGUGGCAGACUGCGUUUUUCCCAUGUCGGUGCGGGAAGCCUGCGGUCCCGUGGCUUCAUCGACACUUAGAUGGAGCAACACUUCCGACCCCAGGUCAGGUGGGAGCACCCGCUGAGUUUAAGCAUAUCAAUGAGCGGAGGAAAAGAAACUUACGAGGAUUCCCUUAGUAACGGCGAGCGAAACGGGAGUAGCCCAGCUUGGUAAUCGAAUGACCCGGUCAUUUGA